rnacentral:rRNA from 1 species
UACGGGGGGGGCAAGCGUUGUUCGGAAUUACUGGGCGUAAAGGGCUCGUAGGUGGCCAACUAAGUCAGACGUGAAAUCCCUCAGCUUAACUGGGGAACUGCGUCUGAUACUGGAUGGCUUGAGUUUGGGAGAGGGAUGCGGAAUUCCAGGUGUAGCGGUGAAAUGCGUAGAUAUCUGGAGGAACACCGGUGGCGAAGGCGGUUCUCUGGGCCUGUACUGACGCUGAGGAGCGAAAGCGUGGGGAGCGAACAGG